rnacentral:rRNA from 1 species
UACGUAGGGUGCGAGCGUUGUCCGGAAUUAUUGGGCGUAAAGGGCUCGUAGGCGAUUUGUCGCGUCGGGAGUGAAAACCUUGGGCUUAACUCAGGGCUUGCUUUCGAUACGGGCAGACUAGAGGUAUGCAGGGGAGAACGGAAUUCCUGGUGUAGCGGUGAAAUGCGCAGAUAUCAGGAGGAACACCGGUGGCGAAGGCGGUUCUCUGGGCAUGAUCUGACGCUGAGGAGCGAAAGUGUGGGGAGCGAACAGG